AAGUCGUAACAAGGUUUCCGUAGGUGAACCUGCGGAAGGAUCAUUAAUGUGAUUGUGCGCGUAGCGACAUGCUGAAGCUCGCGUGCAAGACUCAUUCCUUGUGCUAUGUUUAUUGUUUGCUUGUGCGUGCAAUGCGCACAUGUGCAUUUUAACAUAUUCGUACCUAUCUUACAUAUCUUUGCUCUAAUGAGCAACAAACCAACAAAACUGCCAGCAAUGGAUCACUUGGUUCUC
rnacentral:misc_RNA from 1 species